UACGUAGGGUGCAAGCGUUGUCCGGAAUUAUUGGGCGUAAAGAGCUCGUAGGCGGUCUGUCGCGUCGGAUGUGAAAAUCCAGGGCUUAACCCUGGACCUGCAUUCGAUACGGGCAGACUAGAGUUCGGUAGGGGAGACUGGAAUUCCUGGUGUAGCGGUGAAAUGCGCAGAUAUCAGGAGGAACACCGGUGGCGAAGGCGGGUCUCUGGGCCGAUACUGACGCUGAGGAGCGAAAGCGUGGGGAGCGAACAGG
rnacentral:rRNA from 1 species